rnacentral:lncRNA from 1 species
UGUUUCUGAUAAUGCUAUGGUUGUACUUUCUGAUAUCUUUUAUUUUUAGAUACUAUGAAUGAAAUCUUACCAAGUGUCAUAUUUAGUUACUAAACAAACUAUGAAUAAACCAUCAGCAUUUCCAGCAUGUGGAUGUUAGCAUUAAAGAGUAAAUUCUGAUUCUUUUAGGUCAAAGCUGUUGAAUUGAGGCCAUAGUUUCAGAAAAUGGAUCACGUAGUCUUUAUGUGUUUCAUUUCAAAUUAUGUCUCUAUCAACCUUUACUAGAUCAUGUAUAUUGAAGCUUCCAUACAAUCUCCAUUUAGUAUCCGCUGUGGUACAAAUGUCUGUGUCCCCCGGUACUUGGCCAUUUUCACACAGCUAUAAAGAACUACCUGAAACUGGGUAAUUUAUAAAGAAAAGAGGUUAAUUGACUCACAGUCCGCAUGGCUGGGGAGACCUCAGGAAACUUACAAUCAUGGCAGAAGGCAAAGAGGAAGCAAGACACAUCUUACAUGGCAGCAGGAGAGAGAGAGAAAGCAAAGUGGUAAGUGCCACACACUUUUAAGCAAUCAGAUCUCGUGAGAACUCACUCACUGUCAUGAGAACAGCAAGGGGGAGACUGCCCCCAUGAUUCAAUCACGCCUCUCCCCCAAGACAUGGGGAUUAAAAUUCCAGAUGAGAUUUGGGUGUAGACACAGAGUGGAACCAUAUUACCCCCUCAAUUUCAUAUACUGUAAUCCUAACUCCUAGGUGGUGGUAUUCGUUGGGAGGGCUGUCUAGGGGGUAAUUAGGUCAUGAGCACAGACCUGUCAUGAGUGGGAUUAGUGUCCUUAUAAAUGAAGCCCUGGAAAAGCUCUCUUGCCUCUUCCUUCUGCCAUGUGAAGUUAGAGUGAGAUGGCUGUCUAUUUCAUGCUGGGAUCUUAAUCUUGAUCUUCCCUGCCUUCAGAACUGUGAGAAAUAAAUUCCCACUAUUUAUAAGCCAUCCAGUCUAUGGUAUUUUGUGGUAGUAGCCCAAAGGUGGUACCCAUGUGAUACUUCAUAAAUAAAAAGUUGAUUAUGCCACUCCCCUGUUAAAAUGCUGUUAUUGAUUUGUACUGAGAACAGGAUUAAAAAAAAAACAACCUCUUCAAUGUGGCCUCUUUAACGUGGUUUACCACUGUGGCUGCACCGAAAUCACACUUGUUCUUACCCCUCACUCCAGCUACCCAGGUUCUCUUUAGCAAAGACAGGCUACAGGGUCUUGGCAGGUCGUGUUCGAUCCACUGGGAAGGAAAAACUCUUUUUUCCCCAGUUAGUGCCUGCUUAUUUAUUAGCUCUCAGCUGAGUAAUUCCUUUCUCCCUUACUCCCUUGCCCUGUGUGUGGGCAUUGCUCUCUCCUCGAAGGCCUGCAGUCAUCUCCCUGUGCCUCAUGCAAAACCAACCUGCAGCAGUGGCCCUGGUGAUGGUUCACAGAAGCUCAGUUUGCGCUAGCUGGAAAGUGACCUCAGGAGGAAUUAUGUGAUCCACAUGAAUCACUGAUGCCCCGGGGAAAGUUUUCGAUGGAAACCUCACAAUGUGGGAGAUUUGGAGAAGAAACUGACUACAUAAGGUAUCUGCUUUUGAAAGGAAUAGUUCUAUUUUGGGAAAAUUUUUCAUGCCAUAGAGAGGAUGUUCCAUAACUCACUGCAGAGACAGAAAAUCAUGAGAGUUCCUUUGUGUUUCUAUCAUAAGACAGAAGAAUGUGUACCAUCCGCAACAUAAACCCUAAGUCCUACACUGGGAUAACUUCCCUGAAGUCUUGGAACAGCGGUUCAUAAUAAUUAUAGCUGAGCGAGGGGCACCCUCUGCUUGAGGCGGAGAAACUAAUACUGACCUUACAGACCAGGUUCUCUUGUUUUGUGUUGUUGAAAGGCUUUUUGCUACCAUCAUUCUCCACCAUGAUGAGAAAUUUUAGAUCUAGUUCAUAAAUGCAAUUAAUGAUAGAAAUGAGAACUUAUUGUUAGAUUCAGAAUUUCUAAAGUACCUAGUGAGAACCUAGUAAGAAACACAAUCAUUCUUGACUGUGCAUACAGUUAAGAUCGUCUAAUAGUGGAGAGAAACAAAGAUGGAAGGGAAGGAGGGAGAGAGAAGAGGGGAGGGGUAGAGGAGGAGGGAGAGAAAGGGAGUGGAGAGAGAGAGAGAGGGAGACAGGAGAGAAAUUCCUUUUGAUCCCUGA